AAUGGUGAUCCUUGAGGGAGCCAGACGUUGAUCGCGCAUCAGCAUGGUCAUCAUCAUCUUCUUUACGAACAAUCUCGCUGCCUGACCGACUGUGGGCGGCAACGUACCCCGAGCUAUCAGGUGAAGCAGCAGUUUUUGUCUUGGCCUUCUUCCUGCGUCCGUUCACCUGCUUUGUGU
rnacentral:miRNA from 1 species